AUUAAUGUUACAAUAUUCUUGUAAUAAUGAUGACAACAAUAACAAUGAUAUUAACAUAAACAACUAUAUUUCCUAUAUAAAAAAAAAAAAAAAAAACAAACUAAUAAUUAAUCCGUAUAAAAAUUACAAAUCUACUAAUUUAAGCUUAAUUGCUUGACUCAAAGUAUCGACCUGAAAUGACCCGACCCAAAGUCGACCCGACCCAAACUUGACCGGACCCGAUCUUGACCCAACCCAAACUUGACCCGAUAUAUGGACUUGAAUUGACCCGACCUGAACUGACCUGACCCGAACUCUCGACCCGACCUAGAGUCGACCCGAAGUAUUGACCCAAUACCCGACCUAACCUGAUAACCUAUUAACCCGAACUUGACCCAAAACCCGAAAUGACCCGACCCGAACAUUUGCUGACCCAAAUUUGACCCGACCCAUACCCGACCCGAAUGACCCGUUUGCAGGUCAUUAUGGAGUAUAUUAUUUGAACUUUUUUUUCUUAGUUAUGACUUUUUACAAUCUUAGCAUAUUGAACAUAGUAGAAUCAUUACCUUGAUAUUUAUAACCAAACUUGUAUACUUCAAAUUUCCUAAAAUAAAGUUAUCUAUCUUUUUUUUUUUUUUUUUUGAGGUAAUCUGAAGUUUAUUUUCUAAACAUGAUUGAUUUGAUUUUAAUUUUGAAAUAAGUAGAAAUAAUGUAAUUAAUUGAUACGGCUUUAAAAAGUUGAAGGUAUCAUGUAGAAUUUUUUUUUUUUAUUUUUUUUUUUAUUUUUUUUUUUGUGGUAUAUAUUUAUAGAUAUUAGAUUAUCAAAGUUAUUGAGCACUUAUUAGUAAUCAAAGUUAUACGCUUUGAUUUAUCAAAUAUGUCAAGUCAAUAAGCUCGAUAAUACGGUACAACUCUAAAAUAUAUUGAAAAAAAAAAAAAUCCACUUGGUAGUUUAAAAGAAUAAAAUUGCAGGUAUUUUAGUGGCUAAUACCAUUAGCUACUAAUAAUCGUCCUAAUAGUAUGACUUAUUAAACCAUAAAUGUCACUUUCGAAAGAUUAGGUGAUGCCCACAAUAUCAAGUCGCGAUUUACUAAUUUCUAAGUAGUCACAUUGCCGUUGACCGACUAAACAACCUUCUUCUUUGCUAGUCAAAUAAUAUCCUACGUAUUAAACAUGCAAGUAAUGCAACUAAUUUUAUACAUCAAUAAAAGAAUGGAAACAUUAUCUAUAUUUAUUACCUUCACGAUUUCUUAUUCCAUUCAGUGGCGGACCUGGGCUUGUGUCUGGUGGGUCAAGUGACUCACCAGGGCCCAAAAAAAAUUUUAAGUUUUUUUUUUUUUUUUUUUUUAAAAAUAAAAAUAAAAAAUUCUAACGUCUGAGUUAGCCCUAGCCCACUUCGCCUCUUCCUCUUCGCAAGUUCGCAUCUUCCUCUUCGCCUCUUCCUCUUCCUCAGACCUCAGUUCCUCUUCGCUAGUUCGCUUCAUCUUCCUCUUCGCAUAAUUUCAGUUUGCUCACGCCUCCAGUGCUGGCUGUGCUACUGGCCUGCUGGCUGCUGCUCGCCUAGUCGCCUGCUCCAGCCUCCAGUGCUCUGUGCAGCUGUGCUCUGUCCUCUGCUGCUCGCCUAGUCGCCUGCUCCAGUGCCUAGUCGCUGACUUGCUGUCUUGCUGAGUGUUGGGCAUGGCCCUGCUGCAGUGCUGCUCCGCUGCUCGCCUCAAUCAUUCAGCGCCUGCCGCCUCCGCCUAGCAAGGUAGGUAAUCAUCAAUUGAUUUUUUUUUUUUUUGUGAAUUUUUUAUCAAAUUUGCAUUACUUGUCUCUUAAAAUUAGUAUAUACGGUGAAUGUUCAUUGAAUUUGCAUUAUUUGUGCAAAUUGUGUUUUGACUGUUAAAUUGAACUUAUUAGUUUAUCUGUUUAUGUCAUUAUGUGAAAUUGUGAAUAUGUGAUGCCGGACAUUGUAUAAGACAGCAAUUAAACUAUUAGUGUAAGGAGGAUUAUAAAUUUAUAAUUAGAUUACAGUUUGGACUGGUUAGUGCUUAGUGGUGCUAGUCGCAUAUUCGGCUGGAAGUUCCGUAUAGACUAGUGGAGAUAUUAGUUUGUUGAUUUUAGUCUUGUCAAUUUUAAGCUUUUUAAUUAUUAGUUAGUAUUGUAAUCUUGUCAAUUUUCUAUUUGGAUGAUCUUUGUAAAUAAUUUUUCUGGGGAAUAUUGCUUGAUUUAGUUGAAUAUUGCUUGAUUUAGUUGAAUAUGAACCGUCCAACCAAUUAUGAAUAGGGGUAAUUCGCUGUUGGGGUUAUUUGCAUAUGAUUCAUACUUGUGAUUUCAUUUGUUUUGUUAACUUUGUGUUUGAUUAGGUUGUUGAAUUUAUAUGCAGGGAAGACUCAACUUAUCAAUCAUUUUCUAAUCAACAAGAGUUGGUAUAUUGUUAAUUUGCCUGGAUAUGGGUGAGUCUCUGUAAUUUUGGUUUUAAUUUGGGCAAUUUCUGUAAUUCUUGAGUCUAUUUCAUGCUGGGAAUAUUGUAUACUUGUAUUGUGAAUCAAUUGUUAUUCGUGUUUAUUCCUGAUCAUAUGCUUGAAUCAUAUUGAAGUGCCAAAAAAGGAUUGCUUUUACGCCUUGAGGCAUUGCUUCAAAAUUAUUGAUCAUCCUGUAAAACAUGUUGCGGACUGAUAUGUAUUUAGGCUACAUCCGUUGUAGUUAAUUUGGUCUCCAAUCGUGUUGUUUAUUUUCAAGUUUAGGAAGUAAAUGUCUCCUUACAUGU